UACAGAGGGGGCAAGCGUUGUUCGGAAUUACUGGGCGUAAAGGGCGCGUAGGCGGCCCUCUAAGUCAGACGUGAAAUCCCUCGGCUCAACCGGGGAACUGCGCCUGAGACUGGAAGGCUUGAAUUCGGGAGAGGGAUGUGGAAUUCCAGGUGUAGCGGUGAAAUGCGUAGAUAUCUGGAGGAACACCGGUGGCGAAGGCGGCAUCCUGGACCGACACUGACGCUGAGGAGCGAAAGCCAGGGGAGCAAACGGG
rnacentral:rRNA from 1 species